UUUGCCCCACAUACCCCAGGACUACAACAGUGGUCAACAGUGGCCAUGUUUGGAGCAAAUUUUAUUUUUUGUCACCACUUUAAUUAUUUGAUGUUUUGUGGUGACAUUCUCUGCAAAAGAAUACACAGUUUGUGUCGCCAGCUGGAAUGGUGUCUCACCCACCCUUGAGUACAGGGGGUUAUUGUACAUACCUUCGCUCUGAACAGAGAUGGUAUGUGGGGACUCAUUUCCCCUGAGGGUGUUGAUUUCCACCAGCUGGUGACACCUGUGACUCAUAUCCUCUUUAUUAAGGUUGACAAUUUUGGCCAGAACUUUGUUACUUGAUUUUUGUAGGGACUUACGUGAAGGGGGAGGGGUGUUGGUUGAAAGUAGAAUUUUCCUCAACCCAUCAUUUCCUAAAGGGGUUUGACUUAGGCCAACUUGUAAACCGUAGUUUACAGUGGCAGCCUUUCUCCCUGGGGAUUUGGUCUCUACCUCCUCAUACAAAUUGUACAGGCCAGACAGGAACGGACACUCAGAGCAUGUCAUCCUCAUCCGGGUGGCAAGGCCACGCCUCUCCUCAGUGUCUAGAUCCCAAGUCAGGAUACCCCGACAGUCUGGAAUACCUUGCUGGUUUAGGCGGAACACCUUGUUAAACAUGGCCGCUGUCUUGCCGAGAUGUAGCAGCCUGUGCGAGUCCUGGUUUACCCUAAGAAGAGUCAGAGAACUUCCUGAGCGUAACAAAUGGUGGCACCCUGGCCGCGGGAGCAUUUCCUGUUUUUCUGAAGCUGAAGGAGGGUCCUUCACUAACUGAUCCAUUUCAGGAGGCAGUCUUUCAUAUGGAGCAGUCAAAAAUCAGAUCCAAAUAUCAUCAGAAUUGUCAGAGUCUUUCAUUCCUGGUAAUGUCAAUGUCCAUAGAUGGUGCAGCUCAUUCACAUGGUGACAGAUCUCAUGACACAGAAAUUUCAGAACUCAAAUUUCCUACCUGUGCACAGGGUGGUGUCCACUAAGCUAAUGGUGGGGAUAGUAGCAGCUAUCCUGCACACAGACAUUGAAUGGAGCUGUCUGAUCCAUUAUCAGAAGAGUGGACAGCACUAUGCGUCCGAUCAGAGAAGUUUAUCAAGAAGCAUUACGAGGGACUUGUAUGAAUGGACAGAAGACAUUUUCUUAAUUCACCACUCCAUCAUUGCCUGGUGUUGAAGACUGAACACUUUAUUGAAAAUUGAUAGGAUGUAGCAAUCAAUGGGUGUCAUCAUUUGCCCUGAGAAGACUAAGAGAACUCCCUGGUCCUCAUGAGAUGGUGACACCCUGCAGUAGGAGCAGUUCUUACCGGUAUCUCUUAAAAGAAGAGAGGUUUUCUUAGCAUCUGAUCCAUUUCUGGAGACAAACUUUUGAAUGGAGCUGGGUAGCAGUUACUCGAGAUGUCUGACUGAUUGACGAGGAUAAUUGUCCUGCGCCUGACAUUCUGGUAGGACUUGGAUAGCUCUAUCACUGUAGAAAAUGUCAGGUUUGUUUAUGAAAUUAU